rnacentral:rRNA from 1 species
GCUCACCAAGUCAAUGAUCUUUAGGGGGCCUGAGAGGGUGAUCCCCCACACUGGUACUGAGACACGGACCAGACUCCUACGGGAGGCAGCAGUGAGGAAUAUUGGACAAUGGGUGCAAGCCUGAUCCAGCCAUCCCGCGUGAAGGACGACGGCCCUAUGGGUUGUAAACUUCUUUUGUACAGGGAUAAACCUACCCUCGUGAGGGUAGCUGAAGGUACUGUACGAAUAAGCACCGGCUAACUCCGUGCCAGCAGCCGCGGUAAUACGGAGGGUGCGAGCGUUAUCCGGAUUUAUUGGGUUUAAAGGGUCCGCAGGCGGGCUAGUAAGUCAGUGGUGAAAGCCUACAGCUUAACUGUAGAACUGCCGUUGAUACUGCUAGUCUUGAGUAUAGUUGAGGUAGCUGGAAUGAGUAGUGUAGCGGUGAAAUGCAUAGAUAUUACUCAGAACACCGAUUGCGAAGGCAGGUUACCAAGUUAUAACUGACGCUGAGGGACGAAAGCGUGGGGAGCGAACAGGAUUAGAUACCCUGGUAGUCCACGCCGUAAACGAUGCUAACUCGUUUUUGGGCUUUAGGG